GGCCCUUUGUGGCCCGAAUUCCGUUUCCUCCCCCUGGUAGGAAGCCGGGACCGAGCGGCGCGGAUGGACCACGCAGGCCGUCGCACCCCACGAGUGGUGGACGGGCGAGCGGUAGGUUCCUUCGUCGGCGUCGCCGGACCCGUGGGAGGCCGGAGGCUUGCGGCGAGUAGGUCGGUCACCCACCCGACCCGUCUUGAAACACGGACCAAGGAGUCUAACAUGUGCGCGAGUCAGCGGGUCUUGUUCAGGCCCACAGGCGCAAUGAAAGCAAAGGCGCGGCCCAGGCCCGCCGAGUUGGGAUCCCCGCCUUCAACGGCGGGGCGCACCAACGACCCGUCCUCUCCGGCUCGCCGGUCGGGCGGAGUGUGAGCGUACACGUUGGGACCCGAUAGAUGGUGAACUAUGCCCGAACAGGACGAAGCCAGAGGAAACUCUGGUGGAGGUC
rnacentral:rRNA from 1 species